rnacentral:lncRNA from 1 species
GUUGGGUUUACUGAGAAGUAAAAAAAGUAAUCACAUUUUUUCUAGCGGUUAGUUAAGAAAUCAUUCAUGCAGGUUUAUUAGAUUUGUUUUACAUUUAUCGAACAGUGGGUAAAAUGGAACAGCCACACACACGGUAUACCCAUCAUCGCUUCAGUUUUUUAAUGAUCGUAUUUGUCCUAUUAGAAUCGAAAUAAUUCAUGGAAGC